GAUGAACGCUAGCGGCAGGCUUAACACAUGCAAGUCGAGGGGUAACAUUGGUGCUUGCACCAGAUGACGACCGGCGCACGGGUGCGUAACGCGUAUAGAACCUACCUUUUACAGAGGGAUAGCCUUUAGAAAUGAAGAUUAAUACCUCAUAGUAUUGAAUUUUGGCAUCAUUAUUUAAUUAAAGAUUUAUCGGUAAAAGAUGGCUAUGCGUCCUAUUAGCUAGAUGGUAAGGUAACGGCUUACCAUGGCAAUGAUAGGUAGGGGUCCUGAGAGGGAGAUCCCCCACACUGGUACUGAGACACGGACCAGACUCCUACGGGAGGCAGCAGUGAGGAAUAUUGGACAAUGGGCGAGAGCCUGAUCCAGCCAUGCCGCGUGCAGGAAGACUGCCCUAUGGGUUGUAAACUGCUUUUAUACGGGAAGAAAUACUCCUACGUGUAGGAAUUUGACGGUACCGUAAGAAUAAGCACCGGCUAACUCCG
rnacentral:rRNA from 1 species